rnacentral:piRNA from 1 species
UAACAUGCUCAUCUACGUGCACAGCC